rnacentral:miRNA from 1 species
GCUGUGGGUUCUACCCUAUUCUGACCCUUGACUUGUGAAUGGUGAUUGUCCGGGGUCGGCGUAGGCUAUAACCCAGGC